UCCUGGUUAACCCAGGCAGUCUCAUUAGAGUUCCCACCUUCACGUGUUGGCAACUAAUGAUAAGGGUUGCGCUCGUUGCGGGACUUAACCCAACACCUCACGGCACGAGCUGACGACAGCCAUGCAGCACCUGUUCAGAAGUCCCGAAGGAAGAUCCUAUUUCUAGGACUGUCUUCUGUAUGUCAAGUCUGGGUAAGGUUCUUCGCGUUGCAUCGAAUUAAACCACAUGCUCCACUGCUUGUGCGGGUCCCCGUCAAUUCUUUUGAGUUUCAGCCUUGCGACUGUACUCCCCAGGCGGUAUACUUAACGCGUUAGCUCCGGCACCACAAGGGUUGAGUCCUGUGACACCAAGUAUACAUCGUUUACGGCAAGGACUAC
rnacentral:misc_RNA from 1 species